GACGAACGCUGGCGGCGUGCUUAACACAUGCAAGUCGAACGGAAAUGCCCUGCUUUUGUGGGGUGCUCGAGUGGCGAACGGGUGAGUAACCCUUGAGUAACCUGCCCUUGAUUUUGGGAUAACUUCAUGAAACUGGUGCUAAUACCGGAUAGGAGCUCCUGCUUCUUGGUGGGGGUUGGAAAGUUUCGGCGGUUGGUGAUGGACUCGCGGCUUAUCAGCUUGUUGGUGGGGUAGUGGCUUACCAAAGCUUUGACGGGUAGCCGGGCUGAGAGGGUGACCGGACAAAUUGGGACUGAGAUAAGGCACAGACUCAUACGGGAGGCAGGAGUGGGGAAGAGUGCACAAUGGGAGGAAGGAUGAUGCAGCAAAGCCGCGUGCGGGAAGAGGGGAUGCGGGUUGGAAACCGAUAUCGUCUGUGACGAAGCGUGAGUGACGGUAAUGGGAAAAGAAGCACCGGCUAACUACGUG
rnacentral:rRNA from 1 species